UACGUAGGGCGCAAGCGUUGUCCGGAAUUAUUGGGCGUAAAGAGCUCGUAGGCGGUCUGUUACGUCCGCUGUGAAAACCCAGGGCUUAACCCUGGGCUUGCAGUGGAUACGGGUAGACUAGAGGCAGGUAGGGGAGAAUGGAAUUCCCGGUGAUAGCGGUGAAAUGCGCAGAUAUCGGGAGGAACACCGGUGGCGAAGGCGGUUCUCUGGGACGGUACUGACGCUGAGACGCGAAAGCGUGGGGAGCGAACAGG
rnacentral:rRNA from 1 species